AUGGCGUGGAGCCUAGGAUCUCAGCGCCAAGAAAUCGUGUCACACAAUGGACACGCUCAUCAGCCACCACCUCAUUCGCGAUUGAUCAGCAAACUGGAGGAAUCUGAUGGAACAUUAUUAUGCCUAAUAGUAGCAACCUGCAAACUCGUCAGCAGUGCCUGCAAUUUCCAUGUGUUUCUAUUAAGUGAUGAUGGUUUUACCCACAAAGAAAUCACUGAGUUGGUGGCUGGCACAAUGGUGGUUGCUAUUUGCUACCCCUAUAUACUUCUGAAAUGGCACGAAUUGAUCUUCCCGAACUUGACACCCUUGAAGUCGUGGGUCGCAUGGCGUCCUAACGUCAGGAUUUUCAGAGACACAGGCGUUCUUGUGAUUAUUUCCUACCUGCUAUUGCUGGACAUCAAUUGGAGAUUCCUCUUACUUGCCAUCUUUCCUAUUAUGGCCAUUACUUUCAUAGGAGCACUGUACUUUAAGCUCAAUCGUUGUACUGGCGACAUUGGUCGUAAAGUUACUCCACAAUCUUCUAUGGUCGAUGAGAAUACCAUCAUCAAGACACCUAUGGAGCUGGAGAUCAUAGUGGUGGUGACGUUCGGGGCGCUGUUGGUGAUGGAUCAACUUGACGAUGGUGCAGCUAUGGGCUUCGCCAUCACACAGUUUCUCUUGUUCCUGAGCUCCACUGUGGCGGCAUUGACGCGCAUGAUGAUGAAGCUGCCUACUGAUCCUUUUCCGGGCAGUGCACCGGCGUCAGAGUUGCUCCACAAGACCUUGCUUCUACUUCUACUGGUGACGGCACACACAUUGGCCGCGGAGUGGCUGGGCGAGGAUGUGGUUCUGUUCUGCAUGCCGGAGGUUGUUCCGGUGCUCCUCUGGUACAGCCUUCACCUCGACCGCCCACACCACCACCCACUCAUCAGCGUCGACAAAAUGAAGCCACGCAUGAAGGGGCUCAUUGCCCUAUCUACACUGGUGGUAUUUCCUCUUUUCGCAUACAUGGUGAACUCCAUGGAUGUUUCUGGGCUCUCCUGGUGCACGAGGAUCAUGGUGUCAUGUGGCGUCUCAGGGGUUCUGACCUACUACCUUGUGUUCAUGCUACGCUACUGGCAUUGGCCGUGGAAAAGAGAAGCAGCAGCCGCUGGCCGCAGCAAGGACGAUGUGGUUUCCUCCGGCAUGCUCAAGUUUUUGGCAAAUGUUUUACUCAUAACGGCGGCAUUGCUGCUGCUGCUAAGGUAUAUGGUUUCUGUCCGGCUUGGUCUGCAACCAUCAUUGGUUGGUAUGCUACAUUUAAAUUCGCAACGACUAAGCUAG
rnacentral:rRNA from 1 species